rnacentral:lncRNA from 1 species
GUGUGAGUCCGUCUUCCCAGGCUGGUGUCACACCACCCAGCUGCAGUGCGGACGGAGUCUGAGAUGCUUACGGGUGUCACGUGCCAGGGAACCCUUCUGAAAAGAUUCACUUUCCAUGUUACUGAGAAGAGCUAGAGAUGCUGAGAGACACAGGAAGGGAGGGAGAUUCCUAACAGUUGACAACAGUUGACAAGAAGGUAUGCGACAUGGUCAGAGGCAGGAUGGGAACGAGCCCUGGCUGGUCGCUGCGGUUGGUGGCUCUGUGGACGCUCUAUGGAGUCGCUGGAGCACAGCCAUCCAUCACAGCUCAGUAUGGAGAGGACAUCACACUGGACUGCACCUUCCACCACAUACCGGGGGUAAAACUCCAGCGACUGAACAUCACCUGGAAGAUGCAAAGAGCCGAGGGAGCAGCUCUCCUGGUUCACAGCUACUGUGAGCAGAGGGACCUGUGGCAGGGACAGGACAAGGUUUACUGGGGCCGGACACAGCUGGACCCAGAGGGAAUCCACAAAGGGAAUGCGUCCCUGCGACUCAGGGCUGUGCACUUCCAGGACGAGGG